rnacentral:rRNA from 1 species
UCUGGUUGAUCCUGCCAGUAGUCAUAUGCUUGUCUCAAAGAUUAAGCCAUGCAUGUCUAAGUAUAAGCAAUUAUACAGUGAAACUGCGAAUGGCUCAUUAAAUCAGUUAUCGUUUAUUUGAUAGUACCUUACUACUUGGAUAACCGUGGUAAUUCUAGAGCUAAUACAUGCUUAAAAUCCCGACUGUUUGGAAGGGAUGUAUUUAUUAGAUAAAAAAUCAAUGCCCUUUUGGGCUCUUUGAUGAUUCAUAAUAACUUUUCGAAUCGCAUGGCCUUGUGCUGGCGAUGGUUCAUUCAAAUUUCUGCCCUAUCAACUUUCGAUGGUAGGAUAGUGGCCUACCAUGGUUUCAACGGGUAACGGGGAAUUAGGGUUCGAUUCCGGAGAGGGAGCCUGAGAAACGGCUACCACAUCCAAGGAAGGCAGCAGGCGCGCAAAUUACCCAAUCCCGACACGGGGAGGUAGUGACAAUAAAUAACGAUACAGGGCCCUUUCGGGUCUUGUAAUUGGAAUGAGUACAAUGUAAAUACCUUAACGAGGAACAAUUGGAGGGCAAGUCUGGUGCCAGCAGCCGCGGUAAUUCCAGCUCCAAAAGCGUAUAUUAAAGUUGUUGCAGUUAAAAAGCUCGUAGUUGAACCUUGGGCUUGGUUGGCCGGUCCAUCUUUUUGAUGCGUACUGGACCCAACCGAGCCUUUCCUUCUGGCUAGCUCUUGUAGCGAACCAGGACUUUUACUUUGAAAAAAUUAGAGUGUUCAAAGCAGGCCUUUGCUCGAAUAUAUUAGCAUGGAAUAAUAGAAUAGGACGUUAUGGUUCGAUUUUGUUGGGUUCUAGGACCAUCGUAAUGAUUAAUAGGGACGCCGGGGGGUAUCAGUAUUCAGUAGUCAGAGGUGAAAUUCUUGGAUUUACUGGAGACUAACUACUGCGAAAGCAUUUACCAAGGACGUUUUCAUUAAUCAAGAACGAAAGUUAGGGGAUCGAAGAUGAUCAGAUACCGUCGUAGUCUUAACCAUAAACUAUGGCCGACUAGGGAGCCGGGGGACGGUCCUUUAUUGACGCAAUCGGCACCUUACUAAAAUUCAAAUUCUCGGGUCUUGAGGGAAUA